rnacentral:rRNA from 1 species
CGUUCCCGGGCCUUGUACACACCGCCCGUCACACCACGAAAGUCGGCAAUACCCGAAGCCGGUGGCCUAACCCGCAAGGGAGGGUGCCGUCGAAGGUAGGGUCGAUGAUUGGGGUG